GUGGACAGUGAAAGUAGAUAGAUCACAGAUGGAUUCAACACUGACCCGAAUAUCGGCUUCAGCUGCUCCCUUUUCUGUUAACAAUUUUCAAAAGCUUCAUGUUCUAUCUUCUUCUUCAACAAGGAUUUCUGCUAAGCGAUUGUUCUGUUCCGAUCCUAAGCUGGAAAUUACCAGUACACAACGUCCCCAAUACGACGCCGUUCUCGACGAG
rnacentral:misc_RNA from 1 species